ncrna:Schistosoma mansoni type-P1 twister ribozyme
AUGUUAACUCUGCCUGUAGCUCCUCCUAGGGCUACUGCCGGUUCCAAGCCCGGGUAAAGGAGGAGGGUUGG